GCUAAUGUAGCAAAACCUGGUUUUGCGAAAGACCUAAACUCUUUCCAUAGAAGUUCAAAUCUUCUCGUUAGCU
rnacentral:tRNA from 1 species